rnacentral:rRNA from 1 species
GAUGAACGCUGGCGGCGUGCCUAACACAUGCAAGUCGAGCGAUUCUCUUCGGAGAAGAGCGGCGGACGGGUGAGUAACGCGUGGAUAACCUGCCUUUAUGACCGGGACAACACCGGGAAACUGGUGCUAAUACCGGAUACGCUCUUGGGAGCACAUGCUAUUGAGAGGAAAGGAGCAAUCCGCAUAAAGAUGGGUCCGCGUCCCAUUAGCUAGUUGGAGGUGUAAGAGACCACCAAGGCGACGAUGGGUAGCCGGCCUGAGAGGGUGGACGGCCACACUGGAACUGAGACACGGUCCAUACACCUACGGGUGGCAGCAGUAGGGAAUAUUGGUAACGCGCGAAAGCGUGAACCAGCAACGCCGCGUGUGCGAUGAAGGCCUUCGGUUGUUAAGCACUUUUCGGUAGGAAGAGGAAGGACUGUACUCCCAGAAUAAAGCCUCGGCUAACUAACGUGCCAGCAGCCGCGGUAAAAUCAACGUGUA